rnacentral:lncRNA from 1 species
UUGUUGUUGCCCACAUCCAAAAAAGAAUCACCAAAGAUGAAGAGAGAUGCAUUUCUUUUUGGCUUUUGGUAUUGGCAUUCCCCUAUAUGGAAAUGGAUACAAGAAGCUAAUAGAUAUGAAAAUAUUAGGACCAGGGUGAUAUUAGAGGUACCUACUGCGGCCUUUGCCAUGCUUAGACUUCAUUUGUGAAUGUGGAUUUUGAACCUCCUUUUUAUGAGGAAUAUAUUUACCUAGCUAGCAUUUGGCUAUACAUUUUGGAUAAGGUUUUGAAAACUUAUUUUUCUAUGGUUGUUUGAUCAGAUUUUUUUUUAAAAAAAUUCCAAGUAAAGCUAGCAGAUGUCCAAACAUAACUUCAAGUUUCAAAAAUCACAAUUUUAAAAUUUAAAUUUCAAGUUUCAAAUUCAAAAUAUUCAAUAAUAGUUUAUUGUUAUACAUGUGUGAGAAAUAUUUUAAAGAACUUAACAUAAAUAACCAUCCACCAAAAUAAUAACCAGCAACUAUAUAUUUCUGCUAUAUCAAUUAUGAUAUAUAUGAAAUUUCCUUUUUUAUAUUAAAAAACGUAUAUUUUUUUUUUAUAUAUAUUUAACUUGCGAAUACAAUUAUUUUAAACUGAUUGGAAUGUUAACUAAACCCAAUUUUACUAAUCAUUCAUAGCCAGGUCAUAAGUCAAAAAUGCAGAGUCGAGUGGUAGAUUGACGGACCAAGAUAAUUUGAUCUAUAGUGAAUUUUGUGAAAACCAAUUAGAAUGGUUGAUUAAGGAUAUUGCUUAUUAUAGAUUAUCAUUGCAAGGAAGUCUCAUACUAUAUGUGUAGUUUAAUUACUAUCAUAUUGUUUUUCAUUAUUUUCCUGGGUUAUCAAGUCAAUGUUUAUUCCUAUAAACAACGAAGGGUGUCUUUGGUACGAAGGAUAAUGUUUUAUAAAAAAGUUUUUUUUACAAAAAAAUUAAUGAAUUUCUUAUUUACUUUUUAACGUUGGUUAAGUAACAUAAUUAUAUUAUUCAUAAAAUAUUUAUAUGUAAUCUAGCAAAUCAUUAUGAUGGUGGGGUUCGAAGAGUGGCAGACCAGGGGAUUGAGAUGGUUAAGCGUGGUUGGGGUUGAGGGUGUUAGGUGGUGGAUCAGGGGCGGUUUAAGAAAAUUCGUGGCCUAAGAUCAAUAUUGAACGGAGGCCUUAAUUAUUUUUAUUAAGUCUACUUUUAAAAAUAUAUAAUCGAUUUCUUGUAAUACAUUUUUUAGUUAAUAAUAUAGUCAAUACAUUAAUUUCUUCAAACAUAGCACUCCAGACUACAUAUAUAAAAUUCCUUCUAAAUUCUUUUUAUAUUAAAAAAUUUAUUUAUUUUGAUAAAUAAUAUUUAAUAUUUUAAAAUAAAAUCGUAAAGCACUAUUAUUAAAGAAUAAAUAAAUAAGGCUCUCAAAUUUGGGAUCCUUAGGCGGCCGCAUUUUUCUCGAAAGGGUUGAGCCGCACUGGGUGGAUGUAAAUGUUUAGAACUUGUUUACCUUAACUCAUUUUCUUAAAAAAAUAUAUUUUUUAAAAUUUGACCGACCAAAGAUUAGAAAAUUGGAACACACCUAUAUGCAACUGUCUUUGAACUCAUACAAAUUCAUUGUACAAAUAUUUUAUAUAUCUUCGUCAGUGUAUAAAACUAAUUAUUAUUUAUUACUUUGUGUAUGACUUUGUUUUCAAAAUUUAUUUGUUUACGCAAUUGUAGCGUGUUACUUAUACUCACAUAUUUUCCUUCUAAAAAACUUGAUGGUACAAUAACUCUUUACAAAUGCUAAUAAACAAAAGUUAAACUAUGACAAUCAUUAAGGUUUUUAAUUCUUCCCAAACAAAUCGAUUCCAGUUAAAAAGUAAUGAUUUGGUUAUACGUAUAUAGUCAACUAGUCGUGCAAACCUAUAAUCUAUAUUCUAUAUCUAUAUCUAUAUCUAUAAUCUAUAUCUUUAAUUUCUAUAAUCUAUAUUUAUAAUCUAUUUAUAUUUAUAAUCUUAGAAAUGUUGUUUGAACAUUUUGUUCUUCAUUAAAAAGUCCUUACUUUACACAAAAUUGCCUUUUCACUAUUUUUUCCUAAUAUUUAAGAGUUAAAAAGUAAUUAAUAUAUUUAUGGUAAAACCUUUUCUUAUUAGAAGUCAUCAGAAUUUCAAUAUUUUUUUCUAAUUUAAGAAUUGAAAAUAAAUUAUAUAUAUUUAUGAUAAAAUAUUUCUUAUUAGAAGUCAUCAAUGAUGACAACUGAUACUUUUUCUAUUAGUGUAAGAAUUCUAAACCAACUAAAUUUGGUUUAAGAAGAUUUGAAAAAUCUAGAAAUAAAUGUAGAACAAUUAGAAUAAGAAAAGUUCAGAAGUAUUGGAUUUUUAAAAGUUUAAAGUACAUAAUAAGUAGUCGUUUGACCAUGAAAACUAAAAUUUUUUAGAGUUAGAGUUGAAAUUGGAGUUGUAGUUGUGUUUGACCAUGUCUUUUUUGAAUUUUUUUUUUUAACUUUUGAAAAAACUUUUUUUAAAUAUGAUUUUAUGCCCUAACUUUUAAAAACUAUCAAAAUCACCCAACAAAAAUUUACCUACUAAUGGAAAAAGAACACAAUUAGCCACUAUUAUAAAAAUAAUUACAUAUACAUGGUCAUAUUUAAUGAAUUUCAAUUAUGACAUAUAUAAUAUUUACAUUAAUAGCCGUUUCUCAUAUUUAAUUUUUUAAAUAUGGAUAUUAUAUUAACAGAUUACUACUUCCUAUUUUUUAGGUAAUAAAUAUUAUCUUUCAAACAAAUUUAUUUUUUUAGGAAUUUAUUAAAUUUAUUUCCUUCAUUGUUCCUAAAAUAUAGAAAAUGAUGAGUUGUUAUUAAAUUUUAGGAUGUCGCUAAUUUAUUUCUUUAAUUUUCUUAAACAUGAAAAAUUUUACAGUGUGUGAAUAAAAUAUUUUUAUGUAAAACAUGCUUUGCAUAUUUAUGAUAUAUUAUAGGGAUAAUUACAUAACUUAGUCAAUAUUAACUCCUAAUUACUUUAUUUAGCCUAGUUUCAAUUAAUUACAAUUCAUAGCUUCCUCUUACCUAUUAAUUUUUUAUAAUUACAAUUCAUACCAUCUCUCAUGUAUUUUUUUUUUUUCUCUAUUUUCUAUUACUUUCCUUUUUUGUUUUUCCUUUUACAGUUUUUUCCUUCAUUUUUUCUUUUUCUUUUUUUUUGUUUUUUUUUCUUUUGUAUUUUUUUCUUUUUCUUUUUUUCCUUUUUAUUUUUUCUCCUUUUUAUUAUUUUUCUCCUCUAUUUUCUAUUACUCUUCUUUUUUCUUUUCCAUUUUUUGUUUUCUCAUUCUUCUUUCGUUUUCAACUUUUCUUUUUCGUUAUCUUUUUUUCAUUUUGCCUUUUUUUUCUUUUUCUUCUUUUCCUUUUUAUUUUUUAUCCUUAUUUUUUUUAUUUUUUUCUCUAUUUUCUAUUAUUCUCCUUCUUUUUUUGUAUUUUUUCUCCUUUUUCUCACAUUUUUUUCUCCUUUUUUUUUGUUUUUCUUUCUUAUUUUUCUCCUUUUUUUCAUUUGUGCGAACUAGCAAAUACAAAUACAAGUGUGAAUUAUGUUUCAAUUUUUUCUUUUUCAUUUUCUUUUUUUUCUUUUGUAUUUUUUUCCUUUUUAUUUUCUCUCCUUUUUUUUUUUUAUCUAUUUUCUAUUAUUCUUUUUUUUUCUUUUUUCCUUCAUUUUUUCUUUUCCUUUUUCUGUUUUCUCUUUCUUCUUUCUUUUUUCAAUUUUUUCUUUUUCGUUGUUGUUUUCUCAUUUGUCUUUUUUUUUCUUUUUCUUCUUUUCCUUUUUAUUUUUUUCCUUCUUUUUUUUUUUUAUUUUUUUCUCUAUUUUCUAUUACUCUCAUUUUUUUGUAUUUUUUCUCCUUUUUCUCAUAUUUUUUCUCCUUCUUUUCAUUUGUGCAAACUAACAAAUACAAAUACAAGUGUGAACUAUAAAAUAUAAAUACAAAGGGUAAUUAUAUCAUACAAAUACAAGUGAAAAUUAUAAAAUACAAAUACAAAUGCGAACUAUAAAAUAUAGAUACAAGUGUGAACUAUCAUUUGUAUUUUUUAAUUAUUGAAAAGGAACGAUUAAUUUUCUUUUCACGAAUACUUGUUUGUAUUUAUUUAUACGAGUUGUAUUUAUUGAUACAAAUAAAUACAAUUCAAUUUCUUUUUUAUAAAAAUACAAUAUAUACAAAUACAAUAUGUAUUUGUAUUUUUAAAAUCAUUGAUUUCAUUUGUUUGUAAUUGUAUUUGUAUCAAGUGAUGUUUAUUUAUUUAUAAAUAUGAAUAAUAAUUUUGACAUACAAAUACAAAAUGGUACAUUUGUAUCAAAUGAUACAUUGCAUGUUUAUAUAUUUUAGAAUCAAGAAAAUACAAUUAAUGCAUUUACUUGUUUGUAUACAAAUACAAAUGAUAAAUUGUACAUAAUCACGGCUAAAUACAAUUUGCAAUAAAUAUAAUCUAAAUAUACAAACACAAUAAAAUCAUAAUACAAAUAUAAUCCAAUAUAAUAUACAGUCAAUUAUAAAAUAUAAAUACAAAACAGUUCUUUAAAUUACAAGUGUGAAUUAUAUAAAAUAUAAAUGAUGGUGUGAACUAACAAAUACAAAUACAAGUGCGAACUAUAAAAUACAAAUAUAAAAUCGAGCUACAAAAUACAAAUACAUGUGCGAACUUUAAAAUACAAAUACAAAUAAAAUUGUAUCAAUGAAUACAAAAAUAUAAAGGACGGCGUGACUACAAAUAGAUAAACAAUUAUGGUAUUUACGUUAUCAUUAAUGACUUGUGCUCGACUAGUUAUAUUUUUUAAAAAUACAAAGAUAUAAAAUAGAACAAAAAAAAUGAUAAAGAAAAUAAGUACAAAAAAAAAAGAAAAAGAAAAAAAAGAAAGAGAGAUAGAAGAGAGAAAAAAUAUAUAAAAAAUAAAAAAAGGAAAAAUUAGAAAAAAGAAGAAGAAAAAUCGAGGAAAACACGACAAAAAAAAUAUAAAAAAGAAAAAAAAUGGUACUUAGUGUUUUUGGCAAGACUAAAUAUGUAGUGUAUUUAUGUUUUUAUGAAUACAAACCACUGAGUCAAAGUGAAUACAACGGCUGUGAAUCGAAUACAACAGCUAAAUGGUACUGUAUUUAUAUUUUAUAUGAAUACAGACUAUUGCUAAAAUCAAAUACAGCGGGCGUAAAUUGAAUACAGCGGCUAUAAAUAGUAAUUAUGUAAAAUAUGGCUAUGAAAGGUGAGUUUUCCAGUAAAACGUGGCUAUUUUUGAAAGAUCCCCUAUAUUAUAUCCUAUACCAUAAAUAUAUAAAUAUGCUUAGUAUGUUUCUUUAUACUUUGUAUUUUUAUAUAUGUGUGUAUAUGGUAUAUACAUGGUAUAAACUUCAUAUAUAACAUACUUUGUAUAUUUAUAUUAUAAAUAUGCUUAGUAUGUUUCUUUAUACUUUGUAUUUUUAUAUAUGUGUGUAUAUGGUAUAUACAUGGUAUAAACUUCAUAUAUAACAUACUUUGUAUAUUUCUAUUAUAAAUAUAAUACUUUAUAUAUUUAUACGUAUAAAUAUAAUACUUUAUAUAUUUAUGGACAUAAAUAUAAAUUAACAGUAAAAUAAUGUCUUAAAUAAGAGAGAAAAUUAAAUAAGGGAUAAAAAUAAUGAUGAGAGAGAAAAAGAGAUAAAUAUUAAUUAGGAUAGCAUUAAGUUUGAAAUUAUAUUAUCUUAUUCUUUAAAACUGCUAUAUACGUAAUAUUGAAAAAGCAAUGUUAUAAGGAGAGUUUUAUGUAAAAAUUUAAAAUAUUGGGGUUAUAUGUAAUAAUAAUAAAAGUUGGAAUUGGAGUUGAAAAAUUGUGAAAAUAACAAAAACCUGUUUUCCCUUUUCAGAAAAAUUUUCUGGAAUUAUUUUCCAAAUUUUCAUGACCAAAUACCACAAUUUUCAACUUCGAAAAAAAUUUCCGGAAAAAAGAGAAAAAUUUCCAUGGCCAAACGGGCCUUAAGAAUGUAAUAAAUGAUUUUGUAAAUAUUUGACUUUAAAAAUAAGAAAAAUAUUUAAAUAUAAAAGGAAAAAAAUAAUCGUAAUACAAAUAUGUUUUAAAUUGAUACGUCUCUCUUAGCCCGUGGCAACAAUAGAAAGAGGUACUAGAUGACAAACGCAAAAGUAAUGAUUCAUCAACCACUUGAAACUUCUAGUGGUAAAACAUAUAUGUGUAUAUGUUUAUGUUUACACUAUUAUAUUAAAUUGUAAAAGAUUUUUGAUAAGUGAUUUGAACUUUUACACUUUAUUAAAAAUCUUCGUAAUAGGCAAAAUUAUUUAAUUUUAAAUAAUCAAAGGUUAUUCAUGCGAGGUAUGCUUCGGUUAAACUAGUAAUAAAAAAACAGUAUUAACAUAUAUCAUCCUAGUUGUUAGAAGAUGCGUUAUUCAGGCAAUGAGUUAUUUAAAUACCAUGUUUUUGAACGUUCAAUUUAAUAUUGAUCGAAACAUCCUAAUCAACGACUUUAGGACCAUAAGUAGUAAAAAUGUUUGGAAAAACCUAGUAUAACAGACUUCUCUAUAACAACGUUCUUCUAUAACAAUAUUUUAUCAUAAUAUUCAUAUUAUAGUAAAAUAUUAUCUAUUUAUCUGCCUAUCUAUCUAUCUAUCUAUCUAUCUAUCUAUCUAUCUACUAAAAAUACUCACAUAAAUAAUGAGAAAUUUGACGUAAUGAGCUUUUAUGUUCGUACACUAGAAAUAAAAAGAAGCAAUUCAAUAUUUUUAAAUUGUAUCAAAAAGGACUGAAAAGUUGAAUAUAAGAUAAAAUAUAAUUUGAUCAUUAUGAACAAAUUUAAAAUCUUUAUAGAUAGAGUUAAUAAUUUAUUUCCAAUAACGAGAUGAAUGAAAUUCAAUACAUAAAUCAGUUAUAAAAGAAUAAUUUUUUGUACUGUGUCACCAAGUUAUAUAGAAAUUUCUGAGGCCAAUCGUUAGAAUAACAUGCUUAAAUCUAUCAAGGACAAAAACUCAUUUUCUUGAUAACGUCUUCCAAUGUUAGUGAAUCUUCUUUAUGUCUAUGAUCUCCAUUUAAUUUUCACUAUGUCCUUCAACUUUGAGUGUGUAUAAGUAGACACUUAAAUUUGUAUAAAGUUGAGCACAUGUAUCAUAUGUGGCGUCCCACGUGAUCAAUUCGUGUCCUACAUUACAUCCUAUAUGUAUUAUGCCACAUAGGACACAUGUGUUUACUUGUUCAACUUUAUACAAUUUUAAGUGUCUAUCUGUACACCUCCAAAGAACAUAUUUAUGUAUUAUGCCUUAAAUUUAUAGUAACUAAUAUAUAUCAUUUUCUUAAUAUCUCUGAUGCAAGCAAGCACGAUAUGUUUCAUUUUGUUUCACUAGAGGUUUAUCGCGGAAAUACUUUAAGUAGUUUAAUCAUAGGAAUAUGUCGAGGCUUCACGAAAAUGAAGUAUAUCAUUGUGAUUUUACUAAUAUAGUAAAAUCUUUUUAUAAUGAUUAUAUAUGUCUGAAAAUUUUAUGGAUGUUAUAGAAAGGUGUUCCUGUACAUGUAUGUUGGUAUUUGCUGAUUAAAUCUCGUUUAAACAUUAUAGACAAAAGUAUGCAAAAUUAAAACAGUAUGAACAUAAAAAAGACAAACAUCAGUAGUUCUUACUAUUGAAGUUAUGAAAUAACUAAUGUGCACUAUUGAAAUACAAUUUCCCCCCCUUUAAAUUAGAUAUUCGUAUUUAAAAUUUACUCUGUGCAUGACAUUAAUGAUGAUUACCAUAAAUAUUAUUGAUAUUUUAAUUUGUACAUAAUAUAUUUCUUAUUUGAUACUAUUAAAUAAUAUUUGAGUAUGACUGACGGGUGAUUUUACAAAGAGUGUACUGCUCUAAUUAAUAUUGUCAUAUGGUUAUAGGUGGAAUGUUGUUACAGACAAAUGAAAUAUAACAUAAAAAAUGAAUUCCGAAGAAGACCAGAUCAUUAUAAUAAAAUGUCGUCAUAACGAGGGACCAUUAUAAAGAAUUCUAACUGUAAUGCAUAUUACCCCUUCACUUGUUUUAUUCUUUUCUUCUAAAGGAGAUGAAUUUGGACAGAGAACUAUUUAUGAAUCGGUCUAAACUAUCUUCCAUUCGGAUUCUAAUCUCACAAUAUUAGCAAUUAGUGGUUGUAUGUUUGCAAUAGACAAACUCAUCCUACCUCUUAUAAUUCACAAUAACAAACUCAUUGAAUCCAAAGAAAGAAAUUAAAGGAAUAUUUACAUUUUGUUCUAUCAUUACAAUUUGCAAGUUUGGAUCAGAAUACUAGUAUCAUCUCUCUUUUUCUUCUUGCUCGGCACAGCUCGAUGUAUUAAAGCUCUCACCAUGUAUAUUUGCUUUAUUUUUUAUUCUAUUAGUGAAAGUUGCUUCCCUUCCCUCGUUUCCUUGAUUAGUUAUCUGAUAUUUGCCAAGAUAUAACAAAUAUUUUAAUGGUCAACUAGAUUAUCACUGGAAAUUCAAUCUAGCUAGUCGUUGGUACUCUGCAUCUUUGAAGGAGAAUUCAAUUUCACCGGAUCCAUGUUAGAAAUAGUAGGGGAGCCGUUACACAAUUCUUAUCUCACUGUGGAGAUCCUUAAUACCAUCACUCCAUUCUAAUGCAAAUCCUUUUUCCUUUGAUUAUGCAAUGUUAAUGGCCACAUACGCAAGUCUUCCUAAGCAAUUUAAUAAAACAAAAACAUACUUUAGUUAUUGUUGUUCUAUAUUUUGAUGAUGACUAACUAAUACAUUCAGGGAUUAGGUCCGUCAUAUGUUACUGGUCCGUCAUAUGCUACUUCCUGAGAACUGCUGAGGAACAGCUGUACAUUAUUGCACUCUACAUAGUUUUGUCCUGUAGCAUCAUUACUGUGCAGCUGCAGUGUAUAAUGUGGAAAAACUGGCCACUCAAAUUCUCUCACAACAGAUAUAAGCAAAGGUGAUCAACUUGGUGAAAUAGUUUUUGCAAAAAUCAUCUCCUCAAAUAUCAAGCAAAAGCUGCUCCUGCUCAAGAUCAAAAGCUGCUCUUAGGGAUCUGAUUGCUCUUUAUAUUUUGUAAUCUUGAGUCUUGUUCUAAAAUUGAGUUUAUUGUAGUUAUUGCGAGUAAAAUCUCUUUUGAUUAUGUUGAGUGUUUGCUUGGGUAGAGUUACCUGAGGUUAAUCGACUAAAGCUAGUUGAUUGAGUGGAGGUGUGACAGAGUUGUCUCAAUGAUUUGUAAUAGAGGUAUUACAAGGAUUAGAAUUUAGAGUUAAAUCCUUUGAAGCCUGUAGUCAAAGAUUUGCUUGAUUAUAGUGAAUCUUGAGAAAUUCUGUGAGGACAUGCUGUGAUUUUUCCUUUCUUGAGCAAGGAGGUUUCCAUGUAAAAGUUUCUGGUGUUGUUUUGUUCUAUGCAUUUGGAUUUUGUUCUUG